GACGAACGCUGGCGGCGUGCUUAAUACAUGCAAGUCGAACGGAAAGGCCCUGCUUUUGUGGGGUGCUCGAGUGGCGAACAGGUGAGUAACACGUGAGUAACCUGCCCUUGACUUUGGGAUAACUUCAGGAAACUGGGGCUAAUACCGGAUAGGAGCUCCUGCUGCAUGGUGGGGGUUGGAAAGUUUCGGCGGUUGGGGAUGGACUCGCGGCUUAUCAGCUUGUUGGUGGGGUAGUGGCUUACCAAGGCUUUGACGGGUAGCCGGCCUGAGAGGGUGACCGGCCACAUUGGGACUGAGAUACGGCCCAGACUCCUACGGGAGGCAGCAGUGGGGAAUAUUGCACAAUGGGCGGAAGCCUGAUGCAGCAACGCCGCGUGCGGGAUGACGGCCUUCGGGUUGUAAACCGCUUUCGCCUGUGACGAAGCGUGAGUGACGGUAAUGGGUAAAGAAGCACCGGCUAACUACGUG
rnacentral:rRNA from 1 species